ensembl:snRNA U6 U6 spliceosomal RNA
GUAAUUAUCUGGCAGCACAUAUACUAAAAUUGGGAUGAUACAGAGAAGACUAGAUGGCCCCUGCACAAGGAUGGCAUUCAAAUUCAUGAAUCAUUCCAUAUUUUU